GGUAAGCUUGCGUGUUUCUAUUUUAGGCAACGACCCACAUCGAGAAUUUUUUCUGCUGUACUGUCUCGGGACAUUUUAAUAUUCCGUUAUUCUAAAACUUACAGUUUAUCAAUAUUAUCUAAUAAUAUCAGUUAAAUAACAAAAAGAAAGCAAUAAAUUUGUGUAAGGUAUUAAUGUUAUGUAAAACAUUUACGUAAUGCAAAAAUAAUGAUACAUAUAAGAAUCGGUAAAACAAAUAUCAGGCAUACACAUUUCACAGAAUGUUAAUAUUUGCAAAAUAAAAAAAAGGUCAUCGAUUAAACAUAAAUUGUACGGAUGACCACAUUUUUUCUCCAGAAAUGCUGAAUGCAAGGUUACCAUUAUAUAUUCGCUUCGUGCAAUGCUAUCAACAAGAUAACUUUCCCCAAAAUCAUUUCGAAUUAUCGUGAGUUCAGAGGAGAAUUAAACAAGAAUAAAAAUAAAAGAAGAAUAAAAGAGUUCGGGAGAACUAAAAAAUUGAUUGGCUUUUCUGACUGAAGAUUCGAAGAUUUUUAUGAAGCGUCGACUUUAUAAAACAAAAAAGCGAAUAAGGCAGGGGGUAUUCGGUUGACAGAACCCCUUGCGGCGUCAACCAAGAUGGCCGCACGGCUUAACGUGGAGUUAGCCGUUAUUUGAAUAAAUCUUUAUUUGAACAAAAUACAGUCAUAUGUUAUAAUUCUUGAUUCUUGUAACGAAAUAACGCGAAAGUUAGUUUAAAAUGAACGAGUGAUAUUGAAUAUGAUUCUACUCGUAUUUUUAUCGAUUGCUCAACACUCUGCGAAAGGAGGUCAAUGUUUUCAGUCGAGGUUAUACAUGCUGUUGAGGAUGACAUCACCGUCGCAUAGUAAGCGUGACGCAAUCGGUUGUGGCAACGUCACGUUUCAAGUUAGGCACACCCAGUAUUCCAAAAUUUUCGGGUUAUACCCUUUCACGGAACCUUUUAUAGAUUCUGCAUGCUUUUUAAUAAUAAUCAAGCCAUACAUUCGGAACAAAUUACAUAAUACGAAUCCAUUAUUUGCUUGCAACAUAUUUUCCUUGUCAAGCAAAUGGAAAUAUUACUGCCUUGUGGAAUCAAACGUAUGCUAUAAAUAUAGUACAUUAUACCAUGCAGUAUACCUUGAAAAUUCUUAUCAUUCCGCGCUUACGGCAUGAAAAUUUAUCUAAGAAUACCAACACGUCUGCCUCAAUGAAAUGUACACGCCUAUUUCUUGAAUAUCUGUCAUAUUAGUAGACUUAUUGGAAAGUGCUUUCUAUGUCUAACAAAUCUUAAAAAUUCAAUCAGAUGCCGUGCAUAUUAAUUUUAUCGUAAAUAUUUUAAAAUUAUUCUUUUUUUUGCUUAAUAUAAAAUAACAAAAAUUAUUAUAAAAUUAUAAACAUAUAUUAAAUAAAUUUUCAUUUAAAGAAGUUAAGUUAAGUAACUAUUACAUUAAAAUAUAUCUAGCAAUUAAACAAAUAAAAUUAAUAACAUUUGAUACAAGGAAGCUUGAGUUAUCAUUAGCCAAAUAUGAGACAGGUAGAAAAGAAAAACAGUUGUGAGCAUCUCAUUAAAUAUUUAUGCUGAUACUUAUCUGUUAGUAGGGCAAUUACUUGUUAUAGGAACAGGAAAUAUAAAAUCACUUAUAGUAUGUAAAUAUUUCGAUGUUGCAAUCAACAGGGUGUAAACAAACUUGGAUGCACAAAAACAACAUGCAAUCUUAAUUGACAUGUAUCAUGUAAAUGGCAAAUUAAAGUAAUUACAUGUUUAUAUAAUUUUUAUCACAGAAAAUUAUUGAAUUAAUAUUUCAUUACAAAUAUAAAUAUUUAAUAAUCCUUCCACUACUUUUAUUUAUGACUAAUAUAAGAAGACAAAUUAUAUAUGAAUGCAUACAUACAUAAAGAUAAAAUUUAGAAUAGGCGUGUGGUAAAACAUUAAAAAUCAUUGAAAUACAAAAUUUCGAAGCAAUUUUGUAUCACAUGACAACUGGUCUCCUUGUAUUUUUAAAAUCAAUUGCUAUACCUUUUA